rnacentral:ncRNA from 1 species
UGCCAGCAGCUGCGGUAAUACGUAGAGUGCAAGCGUUAUCCGGAUUUAUUGGGCGUAAAGCGUUUCGUAGGCUGUUAACUAAGUUUCACUUCAAAGACCGGAGCUCAACUUCGGGAAGGGGUGAAAUACUAUUUGACUUGAAAUACUCCGGGGUUACUGGAACUGUCGGUGUAGGGGUGAAAUCCGUUGAUAUCGACAGGAACUCCAAGGGCGAAGGCAGGUAACUAGGAGAUAUUUGACGCUGAGGAACGACAGCUAGGGGAGCGAAAGGGAUUAGAGACCCCUGUAGUCCUAGCCGUAAACGAUGCUCGCUAGCUCGCCGAGUUUGACUUGGUGGGCGUAAGCUAACGCGUGAAGCGAGCCGCCUGGGGAGUACGAACGCAAGUUUAAAACUCAAAGGAAUUGACGGGGACCUGCACAACCAGUGGAGCAUGUGGUUUAAUUCGAAACAAACCGAAGAACCUUACCCGGGUUUGACAUCCAGCACUUAAUGCCUAUGUAGAAAUACUGUAGGAAUCGUAAUUUAUUAUGAAGUGCCGGACAGGUGUUGCAUGGCUGUCGUCAGCUCGUGCCGUGGGGUGUUCCCUUCAGUGGGGUAACGAGCGCAACCCCCGUCUCGUGUUGAAUAUUCACGAGAGACUUUCGACCUUUUGGUUGAAGGAAGUGGGGACGACGUCAAGUCAGCAUGGCCCUUAUAUCCGGGGCGACACACAUGCUACAAUGGAGCCGACAAUGGGUUGCCAAGCCGUAAGGCGGAGCUAAUCCCAUCAAACGGCUUCUCAGUGGGGAUUGAGGGCUGCAACUCGCCCUCAUGAACGCGGAAUUGGUAGUAAUCGCGGAUCAGCUAUGCCGCGGUGAAUACGUUCUCGGGUCUUGUACACACCGCCCUUUAAUACAUACAUCGUAUUUUACGAAGUAUAGUAAUAUAGGAAUAGGUAAGAACGCGCCUUGCAGUCAUAUCUUCU